rnacentral:tRNA from 1 species
GCAGUAGUGGUUCAGUGGUAGAAUUCUUACCUUCCAUGCAAGAGGCCAGGGCUUGACUCUCAGCCAGUGUA